UGGAUAGCCGCUCCCAGUGAUCCCG
rnacentral:piRNA from 1 species